rnacentral:lncRNA from 1 species
UCCCCAGAGGCAAAGUUCCACAGCAAUCAUAAGUGGUAGUAGCACUGGCAGUAGUAUAGUGUUGGCCGCUGUCUUGCAUGCUUUCUGCGCAACCCCAUGCCUCUUGGUGACAGUUGCUAAGUAACUGGACAUGUCAAGAGCCUACCGAAGAGCGUGGGGCUUUACUGUGAAAAGGUAUGCUGGAUCAUUUGGCCCAUGCUUCUGCGAAAAUUGUAAUUAUUUUCUAUAAUUAAACUGUAUGAUCAAUAUACCACACACUUAGUCAUGCCAUUAGAGACCACAUGAGAAAUAAGGACUGUACAAAUAGCCAUGAUCUAUCUGCUCCCUGCGGACGAGGUAACCCCAUGACCUACGGACGAGGUAACCCCAUGACCAACGGACGAGAUGAGAACACACAGAGGAUUAAAGGAGAUGAGCCACUCUCUGAGCAGAGUUAUAAAGCCAAGAGCCUAUUACCAACAACCAGCACGAGGAGCAUCUCUCUGUCAGACUGCUCUGCAAACACGUGGCCUGAUGUUAUCACCUGUAGUGUUUUUCAGUAUCCCCAUGUUAGCCACUCCAUUGUCUAGGGCUAUAUAGCUAAAUAAUUAAUGGGUUGUUCCAUUUGAUUUCAAUCACUUCUUGAAUGCACCCCUUUUGAUUUGAUCAAAACUUUCCAUACAUAUUUUCCCAUGGUAGAAGUGGCCAGAAAGUAAUUUUUUGGACCGAAAUGCCAAAACAUUCAGGAGAUACAGGUGUUCAAAGUUAACCCAUUUUCCAUACCCCACCAUACCAUGAGACAUCAAAGUCUUCAUCUCUGAAAAAUAUGGAUGGUUAAGAUUGAUAUCAUUUAAAAGCUUACAAACAGUGUUAUCAAACUAAUUUAUAAUUUCUUGAUAAAAAAAAAUUAUGCAUAUUUUUUUAGCUUUAACGAGUUUUUAAAUAAUAGAGAUUAAAGG